GACGAACGCUGGCGGCGUGCCUAAUACAUGCAAGUCGAACGCAGUGGGGACGGGUGAGUAACACGUGGGUAACCUCCCAUCAGAGGGGAUAACACUUGGAAACAGGUGCUAAACCGAUACUGAUGGAUGGACCCGCGGUGCAUUAGCUAGUUGGUGAGGUAACGGCCCACCAAGGCCACGAUGCAUAGCUGACCUGAGAGGGUGAUCGGCCACACUGGGACUGAGACACGGCCCAGACUCCGACGGGAGGCAGCAGUAGGGAAUCUUGGGCAAUGGACGAAAGUCUGACCGAGCAACGCCGCGUGAGUGAAGAAGGUUUUCGGGUCGUAAAGUUCUGUUGUUAGGGAAGCGUUAUCUAACCAGAAAGCAACGGCUAACUACGUGCCAGCCGCCGCGGUAAUAC
rnacentral:rRNA from 1 species